rnacentral:rRNA from 1 species
UACAGAGGUCCCAAGCGUUGUUCGGAUUCAUUGGGCGUAAAGGGUGCGUAGGUGGCGCCGUAAGUCAGGUGUGAAAUUUCGGAGCUUAACUCCGAAACUGCAUUUGAUACUGCGGUGCUUGAGGACUGGAGAGGAGACUGGAAUUUACGGUGUAGCAGUGAAAUGCGUAGAGGUCGUAAGGAAGACCAGUGGCGAAGGCGGGUCUCUGGGCCGAUACUGACGCUGAGGAGCGAAAGCGUGGGGAGCGAACAGG